GACGAACGCUGGCGGCGUGCUUAACACAUGCAAGUCACGGGGGCCCGCAAGGGCAACCGGCGAACGGGUGCGUAACACGUGAACAAUCUGCCUAGAUGUGGGGGAUAGCCGGCCCAACGGCCGGGUAAUACCGCAUACGCUCACCGAGUGGCAUCGCUUGGUGAGGAAACCUCCGGGGCAUCUAGAGGAGUUCGCGGCCUAUCAGCUAGUUGGUGGGGUAACGGCCUACCAAGGCAAUGACGGGUAGCUGGUCUGAGAGGAUGGCCAGCCACAUUGGGACUGAGAUACGGCCCAGACUCCUACGGGAGGCAGCAGUGGGGAAUAUUGCGCAAUGGCCGAAAGGCUGACGCAGCGACGCCGCGUGGGGGAUGAAGCAUUUCGGUGUGUAAACCCCUGUUGCCCGGGACGAACAAGCGGAUUCUUCCGCUCUGACGGUACCGGGUGAGGAAGCACCGGCUAACUCCGUGCCAGCAGCCGCGGUAAU
rnacentral:rRNA from 1 species